rnacentral:tRNA from 1 species
AUCUAAGUAGCUUAUGUUUUUAGAGUGUAACAUUGAAGAUGUUAAGGAGGUGAUGUUACUCUUAGAUA